rnacentral:rRNA from 1 species
AUCGAACGCUGGCGGCAGGCCUAACACAUGCAAGUCGAACGAGUGGCGGACGGGUGAGUAACGUCUGGGAAACUGCCCGUUGGAGGGGGAUAACUACUGGAAACGGUAGCUAAUACCGCACACCAUCGGAUGUGCCCAGAUGGGAUUAGCUAGUAGGUGGGGUAACGGCCCACCUAGGCGACGACCCCUAGCCGGUCUGAGAGGAUGACCAGCCGCACGGGAGCUGAGACACGGUCCAGGGUGCUAAGGUAGGCAUCAGUGGGGUAGGUUGCGCAAUGGGGGCGAAGCUGAUACAACAAUGCGGCGUGUAUGGAGGAGACCUUCGGGUUGUGAAGUACUUACAGGGGGGAGGCGUUACUCGCAGAAGAAGCACCGGCUAACUCCGUGCCAGCAGCCGCGGUAAUAC